UGUAUACGUAAGAAUCGACGAGGAAGGUUAUUCUGACGUCGUCAAUUAUUUAAGUUAUAUCGGCGGCUUCAAUUUGAAAGAAGCCAUAAAUCUGUGUUUCAAGGAAGCUAUAAAAGAUUUCUUAACACCUUCAUUCACUUGGUGAGGUCGCGAGAAAGGACGAUCCUUGUAUAAUGCUCGCCUCACUGUGGCUAUUUAUGAGGCUGUGUGUUCUAACCGGCAUUUCGAUAAACCGACUCGGUCGGAAUUUCAAUUGCAAUUUCGUGAAGCUCUUCGGAUGGCGAAAGGAAGAUUGAGGCAUAGAAUGAGAGAUCCACACAUGCAGUCAAUCAAUCGCGAGAGCGGCGAUGAACGGCCACAAGAAAAUACGAAUACCGUUGAGCAAGAAACCACAAAUGGCGAGGAUUGAAAGUACUUUGCACUUUAUUUAUACAGGUUCACUGAUACGCCGCUAGACGUAUGUCGCUUUGUUCGCAAGACGCCCUAUUGUUCCAGAUUCAUUGAUAUGUAUACGCACGCACACAUACAUACAUACGCGCGCCACACAAUUCGCGCACACACGUAACGCAUAUACGCACGCAUACGUACGCGCGCACACAUGCACGCAUAUAUCUCAUAAAUAUAAAUAUUAAAAUAAAAUUAAUAAUAUAUUAAAUAAUAAUUUUUCAUAAUUUAUGUAAUGUACCGCAUUCUUUCUAUGCAGUAUGGAAUAAUUCGUGAAGGUGAAUUAUGAAACAUCCUGUAUAGCAAAAUCAAGAAACGCGAUAGCGUCUCUCGUUAAUAUAUAAUAAUUAUAUAUAAUAAAUGUAAUAUAAGUAUA